CAUCGAGCGAGACAUGUUAGUCAUGCCUCGUGAGAGGGAACCCGGUGAGAGUCCGGGACUGUCCCGCAGCGGUAAGCAGGAACGACCGCCGUCACACGCACUGGUCUUGAAAGACCCGAGACCGGGAAGCGACGGCCAGUAGGAGCGCCACCUGGUGCGUGCCUGUGAGUCCGAAGACCUGCCGGCUGUGCCGGGCGCGC
rnacentral:ncRNA from 1 species